GACACCGCCAUGACCAUGGCGCAGAUGGCAGAGAUGAUGCGCUCGUUACAGGCAACUGUGGAAGCCUCGCGCGUGGAGCAAGCGAGGAUACAUGAGGACCUGGUCGCCUCUCGCGCUAGGAACGAGGAGCUCAGCAAGGUGACUGAGGAGCUGCGUCGAGCUCUUCAGGAGCAGCAAGGACGUUCUUCUGCUGAAGAGGUGGC
rnacentral:lncRNA from 1 species